rnacentral:rRNA from 1 species
AAGGGGAUGUGGUUAAUAACCGUAUUCAUUGACGUUACCCACAGAAGAAGCACCGGCUAACUCCGUGCCAGCAGCCGCGGUAAUACGGAGGGUGCAAGCGUUAAUCGGAAUUACUGGGCGUAAAGCGCACGCAGGCGGUCUGUCAAGUCGGAUGUGAAAUCCCCGGGCUCAACCUGGGAACUGCAUUCGAAACUGGCAGGCUUGAGUCUCGUAGAGGGGGGUAGAAUUCCAGGUGUAGCGGUGAAAUGCGUAGAGAUCUGGAGGAAUACCGGUGGCGAAGGCGGCCCCCUGGACGAAGACUGACGCUCAGGUGCGAAAGCGUGGGGAGCAAACAGGAUUACAUACCCUGGUAGUCCACGCCGUAAACAAUGUCUAUUUGGAGGUUGUGCCCUUGAGGCGUGGCUUCCGGAGCUAACGCGUUAAAUAGACCGCCUGGGGAGUACGGCCGCAAGGUUAAAACUCAUAUGAGUUGACGG